rnacentral:rRNA from 1 species
UACGGUAGGGGCAAGCGUUGUCCGGAUUUAUUGGGCGUAAAGCGCGUGUAGGCGGCCAGGUAGGUCCGCUGUGAAAACUCGAGGCUUAACCUCGAGAGGUCGGCGGAAACCAUCUAGCUAGAGUCCGGAAGAGGAGAGUGGAAUUCCUGGUGUAGCGGUGAAAUGCGCAGAUAUCAGGAAGAACACCCGUGGCGAAGGCGGCUCUCUGGUACGUGACUGACGCUGAGACGCGAAAGCGUGGGGAGCGAACAGG